GCUCAAAUUUGAAAUCUGGCGCAAGCCCGAGUUGUAAUUUGCAGAGGAUGUUUCGGGUGAAGCCACGGUCCAAGUCCCUUGGAACAGGACGUCAUAGAGGGUGAGAACCCCGUACCUGGCCGUCGGUGCCCCCCGCUGUGAAACUCCUUCGACGAGUCGAGUUGUUUGGGAAUGCAGCUCUAAAUUGGUGGUAAAUUCCAUCUAAAGCUAAAUACCGGCCAGAGACCGAUAGCGCACAAGUAGAGUGAUCGAAAGAUGAAAAGCACUUUGAAAAGAGAGUUAAAAAGUACGUGAAAUUGUUGAAAGGGAAGCGCUUGCGGCCAGACUUGCCCGCGGUUGCUCAGCCCGCCUUUUGGCGGGUGCACUCUUCCGCGGUCAGGCCAGCAUCGGUUUGGGCGGCCGGACAAAGGCGCCGGGAACGUGGCCUCCCCUCGGGGAGGCGUUAUAGCCCGGCGCGCAAUGCGGCCAGCCCGGACCGAGGUUCGCGCUCUGCUAGGAUGCUGGCGUAAUGGCCGUAAGCGGCCCGUCUUGAAACACGGACCAAGGAGUCUAACAUCUAUGCGAGUGUUUGGGUGUCAAACCCGUGCGCGUAAUGAAAGUGAACGGAGGUGGGAACCGCAAGGUGCACCAUCGACCGAUCCUGAUGUCUUCGGAAGGAUUUGAGUAAGAGCAUAGCUGUUGGGACCCGAAAGAUGGUGAACUAUGCGUGAAUAGGGUGAAGCCAGAGGAAACUCUGGUGGAGGCUCGCAGCGGUUCUGACGUGCAAAUCGAUCGUCAA
rnacentral:rRNA from 1 species